GAUGAAGAACGUAGCGAAAUGCGAUAAGUAAUGUGAAUUGCAGAAUUCAGUGAAUCAUCGAAUCUUUGAACGCACAUUGCGCCCGCCAGUAUUCUGGCGGGCAUGCCUGUUCGAGCGUCAUUUCAACCAUCAAGCCCCCGGCUUGUGUUGGGGACCUGCGGCUGCCGCAGGCCCUGAAAAGCAGUGGCGGGCUCGCUGUCACACCGAGCGUAGUAGCAUACAUCUCGCUCUGGGCGUGCUGCGGGUUCCGGCCGUUAAACCACCUUCAUAACCCAAGGUUGACUUCGGAUCAGGUAGGAAGACCCGCUGAACUUAAGCAUAUCAAUAAGCGGAGGA
rnacentral:misc_RNA from 1 species